CCUACGGGAGGCAGCAGUGAGGAAUAUUGGUCAAUGGACGAGAGUCUGAACCAGCCAAGUAGCGUGAAGGAUGACUGCCCUAUGUGUUGUAAACUUCUUUUAUAAAGGAAUAAAACGAGGCACGUGUGCCUUUUUGCAUGUACUUUAUGAAUAAGGAUCGGCUAACGCCGUGACAGCAGCCGCGGGAAGACGGAGGAUCCGAGAGUUAUCUGGAAUUAGUGGGUUUAAGGGGAGCGUAGAUGGUUUGUGAAGACAGUUGGGAACGUGUGCGGCUCAACCGUAAAAUUGCAAUUUAUACUGGCAGUCUUGAGGACAGUUGAGGUAGGCGGAAUUCGUGGUGUAGCGGUGAAAUGCUUAGAUAGCACGAAGAACUCCGAUUGCGAAGGCAGCUUACUAAGCUGCCACUGACAUUGAUGCUCGAAAGUGUGGGUAUCAAACAGGAUUAGAUACCCCUGUAGUC
rnacentral:rRNA from 1 species